AUUGAACGCUGGCGGCGUGCUUAACACAUGCAAGUCGAUCGGUAACAGGUGUAGCAAUACAUGCUGACGAGAGGCGGACGGGUGAGUAAUGCUUGGGAAUCUGCCUAUUAGUGGGGGACAACCCGGGGAAACUCGGGCUAAUACCGCAUACGCUCUACGGAGGAAAGCCGGGGACCGCAAGGCCUGGCGCUAAUAGAUGAGCCCAAGUCGGAUUAGCUAGUUGGUAGGGUAACGGCCUACCAAGGCGACAAUCCGUAGCUGGUCUGAGAGGACGACCAGCCACACCGGAACUGAGACACGGUCCGGACUCCUACGGGAGGCAGCAGUGGGGAAUAUUGGACAAUGGGGGCAACCCUGAUCCAGCGACGCCGCGUGGGUGAAGAAGGCCUGCGGGUUGUAAAGCCCUUUCGGUGGGGAAGAAAAGUCUCGACCUAAUACGUCGGGACCUUGACGUAACCCACUAAAGAAGCACCGGCUAACUCUGUGCCAGCAGCCGCGGUAAC
rnacentral:rRNA from 1 species